AUUGAACGCUGGCGGCAGGCCUAACACAUGCAAGUCGAGCGAGCGGCGGAAGGGUGAGUAAUGUCUGGGAAACUGCCUGAUGGAGGGGGAUAACUACUGGAAACGGUAGCUAAUACCGCAUACCAUCAGAUGUGCCCAGAUGGGAUUAGCUAGUAGGUGGGGUAACGGCUCACCUAGGCGACGAUCCCUAGCUGGUCUGAGAGGAUGACCAGCCACACUGGAACUUAGACACGGUCCAUACUCCUACGGGAGGCAGCCGUGGGGAAUAUUGAACAAUGGGCGCAAGCCUGAUGAAGCCAUGCCGCGUGUGUGAAGAAGGCCUUCGGGUUGUAAAGCACUUUCAGCGGGGAGGCGUUACCCGCAGAAGAAGCACCGGCUAACUCCGUGCCAGCAGCCGCGGUAAUAC
rnacentral:rRNA from 1 species